UCACCAGAAUUCUGUCUAGCUUCAGGCUACUGACCCCUUGUUCUUAGUUUCCCAGUUCCUACUUGCUGCCUGUUUGUCUCCAGUGUCAUAGGUCCUGCUUGUUUGUUCCUAGUUUCCUGUUCCCUAUGUGCUGGCUUCCUCCUUGUUCCUGGUUUGUCCCAUGGUUUCCUGUCUGCUGGCUCUAGCCUGGACCCCAUAGACUGCAGACUACUUUGCCAGCUCCUUGACCCUUGUGCUCCAGACCUGCUUUCCUGACCUUGUCUGUUCUUGGUCCCCUAGGUUGUGAUCCUCCAGGGUCAAACUCUGACUUCCUGCAUCUUGGCUGUACCCCUGACACUAUGGGUGUUUGUACAUGUGAUGGGCUGGCUGGUAGUGACCCAGCCCAGGAGUUUUGAAAGGGCAAAAGAUGAUUGGAGGACUUGGGAUUUCCUUUCCUCACCGAUCAGGCCCCAGAGACUCACCCUCCGUGUCUCCUGAUUCACCCCUUGGGUCACCUGGAGGGGGAUAAAAGGGACAGCGCAGCUGACUCAGGGAGAGACCAGUGAGGGACUACAAGAAAGGAGUUUCAAGAGCUGAGCCAGCGGGGUGGGAACAGUUGCCCCAGAAGAGCCUGAAGAAGCAGGACCUGUAGGCAGCAGCUAGACUCUUAGCAGCAUGGCAUGUGGCCAGUAGGAGAGGCUUCCUGCUGGGCUCCAGGAUUGCCUAUGAGAGGCUGUGGCCAGCAGAAGUUCCUCUGCUCCAGCAAGGAUCUGAGCAGCGACCUGAGGAGUUCCCAGCUUGGCUUCCAGCUCCUCCAAUCAGAGACCAGGCAGCUUGACAUGAGGCUGGGGCUCUGGAAAGGUCAAAACCCCUAGCAGUUUGGAGCAGGGGCUGCCAGUGGUGGCUGGGUAGUAGUGUUUCUGUCUACCACAUGAGAUAUCUGAGUUCAAGUCCCAGCUGGGAUAUUGAAAUGCACGGAGUUCACCCAUAGGAAAGCCUGCCCUUACUGCCAUUGAAGGCAAUGACAAAAUUACAAAGAUUAUCCUGACUCAUUUGUCCAUUCGUCUCUCCAUGGAAAGGCACCUCAGGGGUUUCAAUGAUAAUUUUUUUGUAAUUCCUUUCCUAAAUAUGACACAGGACAUGUAAUAUCAGAGAACUCUAAAAAGGCCAGGAAUAUGUUCUGUGCUUUUGUGCCUUGCAUUAGGCUUUCAGACCUGCAGCUGCUUCUGCCAUCAAUGAUUUCUUAGACACAUCAGCUGGCUUGGGUCUUUUGUUAUCUCCAUACUCCCCACCCCCACACCAGUGAAAUCCCUCUGUAUUAGGUCAUACUUUACCCAGACAGUUAAUUUCAGCUUUCUUAAAGACAGUGUGUCAAUUUGUCUUAAAAAAUGUAAUUGUUCCUAUACACGUGCAGAGAUGCUGCUCUGAUGCGCUUAAUCGAGUCUGCUGCUGCUCCAGCAUCACGUGUAUCAGCACCCCGGCGUUUUAUGAGCUUUAGUUCAAAGUGCCCCAUGGCUAUUUUUCAGCACAGGGACACUAAUACAUGUGACACUCUUGGAGCUUUAAUUAGCUUGCCUCUCAGAGCUGCACUAAUUAAAACACCCCCUCUGCCCUCCCCACCUCCACCCUCCUGGAGAUCUAUAAAUGUCCUAUGAUUUCAAUUGGAUUGGUGAAUGAAAAGGUGAAAGAUCAGGCAAUUAUUCUGCAGGAAUCAGGCAAUGGACACACAUCCCUUUCCCCCCCUGCUCCCCCUCCUCUCCCCCCCCCCAAUCAAACUUCAAACUCCUAUGGGCAAAAUUAUUCAAUAUUAUUUCAUUCUUUUUUAUAAAGCAUCUAAAAGGGAUUUUUUUCACAUGAUAACACUUGCAUAUUAACAUGACUUCAAGGAUUCCCUUCAAACUUUCUGAACAAGAAUUCAACUUUGAGUGCACUGAGUGAAAUCCUGUCCCAAAUGCAGUCCAUGCAAUACUCUCAUUGCUUUUAAGUGGCCAAAAUGUCACCUUAGAUAUUUAAACAUAAUACUUUUUCAAAACAGCUAAGUGCCCAAAGACUAAAUUUUUUCUUUAGACUGCAAACACUUUAGGGCAAGGACCAUGUCUAAAUGUAUGUUUUUCAUGUGUUAACACAAUGGGGCUCUUAUCUUGAUCAGGAUCUGGGGAUACUAUCAGAAUAACAAUUUCAUAGAUUUCAUAGACAUUAGGCUGGAAGGGACCUCAGAAGAUUGUCGAGUCCAGCCCCAAAAUGUUUUUGAAAAAUUUUUCCAGAAAUAAAACUAUUUUUAUUGUCAUUAAUACCAACUUUACAUAAUUUUUCCUCCAAACUGCAUUUUCUUUCCUUUUUUUGUUUUGUUUGUUUGUUUUUAAAUAACAAAGGCAUAUUUAUUUCCUGAGUCCAAAAAGACUAAGGUAGCUAUAAUUUUAAGUGGCGUCAGAUACGCUGUGGUUGGACUUGCAUUUUUGCUAUUACAAAACUAUUAAAAUAUGGAGGAACUAAAGACACAUACAGGAACAGAACUAUUGGCGUCUGGAUCGUGCUAAUAUAAUUGGACAGAACUUGGCAGGUUCUAAUUUCCUAAUAACAUUUUCAAAAUUAAAAUGAGCAACAUAGAACAUUUUCAGCAUGAAUAUGCCCCACAACAAGGAAAUGUAGCAUCUCUCUCUCUAAUUCAGGAGCUAGGAAAUCAGUCUUGUUUUGCGUUCACUGGUAAAACUGGGCACCGUGCAUCUCAGUUUGCUUGAGGCAUAAUAAGCUCAUAACGCCCAACCUGGGCCUCUUGCUUCAGCUGGUCUAAUAAAUCUUCCUUGCGCCUCUUUCUGCUUACCACCAAGUAUCUAACAUAACCUUGCCUGUGCGAUUUACUUUUAAGCCCAUAUUUUUGGGCAAUUUGAUGUAUUCGCUUCUGUUCAUCGUUGUUAAGUUCUAUCGAGAAUGUCAAGUCAACGUUACUCUCUGAACGAGCGUAAUUUCAGAUGAUCUGCUCGAUAUCUCUCUUGGCAGUUUUGUUCACCCUUUCCAUAUCAAGGCCAAGUCCUUCCCUUUUAAACUGCUCCUUCACUGAAAUAGGCUCUCAGAUCCCUUCACCAUCUUUCCCAAGCCCACCACCCAUAGGUUUUGCAUGAAUGGACUCAAACUUACCUCCGCCAGUCAACGAGAAUUUUCUGACUGACUUCUAUGGCAGCAGAAGCAGGCCUAAAGUGCUGCUUCUCCAGCAUAGUUACAAUGUACCAUAAUCACUUUAGUCUGCUAAAUUUUAUUUUUUUCCUUUAAUGAUAAGCAUUUUGGGCAAGAUUUCACAAGUGCUCAGCACCAAACCACUAAAGUCUUUUUUUUUUUCUCCUUCUGUGGUCAUUGCACAGUACUCACUUUCUAGUACAAUAUCCCAAAAUCUCCCAUUACAAAAAGAAUCAUGAUCUUUUACAAACAGCUUUUUAAAGGAUGUGGAUUUAUACUGAAGUGAGCACUGUUCCUUAGGAUUUCUCAAUUUAUAAAUCAAUUGCACUGUUGUACACCACCAGACCAGCAUGAACAUAUGUAAACUGCAGGGUAAGGACCUAGAGAUACAAAUCUCCUAAUUAAGUCAAUGGAGACCUAAGCUUUUAACCUCUUCCUGAAAAGCAAAUAAAAGUGAAAAGUAUUAUAUUUCACCUACUGAGUCAAAUCUAAAGAAAAUUAUCUCUAUCUGAUGUUGUGAACAGCUUCCAAGCAUAUAUCUAAUGUGCCAUUUUGCCUAUGCAUUUUAACAUGUCACUUCCAUAUCUUUACCCUAUUCCCUAGGAAACAUAAUCCAUAAAACCACAAUUUAAUACAGUUUAAGAUCACUAACUGUGCCAGCUCCUGAAAAAUGUAGGAUAUGAACAGGUGGGAAGCUGCAAAUCUAGAAUGAGGUAUAUUUGAACAGCUGCACAAAAAAUUUGCACAUUUGCUUGUGUCUAUUGGUCCCCAAUUUUCAUGAGUACCCAGAAUUCACACACUUUUUUUAAAUGCAGAGAAAGAGAAAAGGAGAAGUAAUUCAGUUAAGAACUAAGCAAUGUAACUCUUUUGGAAAAUUUUAUUUUACUAUGUGUCAACUGUUUAACUAAAAGAAAUAACUUCUGCAUGUCUGGUCUAUUAGAAGCUCAUCACUGAACCAUAAAACAGCGAGACCAGAGAAAU